GCCGAUAAUUCUAUAUCUUCGUUUCUCUGUGUCUUUUCGAUCUCGAUCGGACGGUCCAGAAUGAACGUUGCUUCUCGUGCUUCUUUUCUGUGGUUUUAGAUCCCGAUACGUCCAGAUCUACCAUCUCUCUGCUCUGAUCUGUCUUCUCGGGAACAGUCGCCGCGCGAAUGGAGAUAGCAAAUGCUUCAGCAGGUGUCACGCUCGGUGAUGGCUCACUGGCACGCGCCAGUAAGGGUUUAGCUGCUUUACUGGCUUCGGCUCUGCUUAACAACCAGCGCCUGGCUCAGGAUCCCCUUGGGGCAUUUUUGAUCAAACCUGGAAUGAAAGGAGAUAGUCCCACCCAGUGCCCAUCAUCCACACCACUUGACGCUGAAGAAGAUGGUGAUGACGACGACGACGGGGAUGGAGAUGGCGACUUGAGUGAAGGUGAAGGUGAAGAGGAUUUAUCAUCUGAAGAUGGAGAUGACUACACCAACAACCUCAACGACAAUAACAAAAGUAAUUCAAAGAAGAAUUCGGAGGGUGGAGCUGGUGGGGCAGAAGAGAAUGGGGAGGAAGAAGAAGAGUUUGAUGGGGAGGAGGAUCAAGAUGAUGAUGGCGAUGACGAUGAUGAUAAUGAUGACGGUGAUGACGAUGACGACGAUGACGAUGGUGAUGAUGAUGAU
rnacentral:misc_RNA from 1 species